GAACGCAUAUUGCGCUCUUUGGUAUUCCGAAGAGCAUGCUUGUUUGAGUAUCAGUAAACACCUCAAAGCUUUUGAUUUUUUUUUAAAAGUUUUGGACUUGAGCAAUCCCAACACCAAUCUUUUUCAGAUCGGCGGCGGGUUGCUUGAAAUGCAGGUGCAGCUGGACAUUCUCCUGAGCUAAAAGCAUAUUUAUUUAGUCCCGUCAAACGGAUUAUUACUUUUUGCUGCAGCUAACAUAAAGGGAGUUUUGACCAUUAUGGCUGACUGAUGAAGGAUUUCACAGAGAAAAGGCCGGCAACGGUUUUGUCUCUGUCAAACUCGAUCUCAAAUCAAGUAAGACUACCCGCUGAACUUAAG
rnacentral:misc_RNA from 1 species